GGUAGGGCGGCCGUGGAGGCGGUGGAUUGUAGCCCCAUAGACAGAGGUUUGAGUCCUCUCCCUGCCA
rnacentral:tRNA from 1 species